rnacentral:rRNA from 1 species
UACGUAGGGGGCUAGCGUUGUCCGGAUUUAUUGGGCGUAAAGAGCGUGUAGGCGGCCAGAUAGGUCUGCUGUGAAAACUCGAGGCUCAACCUCGAGAUGUCGGCGGAAACCAUUUGGCUAGAGUCCGGAAGAGGAAAGUGGAAUUCCUGGUGUAGCGGUGAAAUGCGUAGAUAUCAAGUGGAACACCAGUGGCGAAGGCGAAUCCCUGGAAAAUACCUGACACUGAGGCACGAAAGCUAGGGGAGCAAACAGG